UUGGUGGGGUGAUGGCCUACCAAGGCUUUGACGGGUAGCCGGCCUGAGAGGGUGACCGGUCACAUUGGGACUGAGAUACGGCCCAGACUCCUACGGGAGGCAGCAGUGGGGAAUAUUGCACAAUGGGCGAAAGCCUGAUGCAGCGACGCCGCGUGAGGGAUGGAGGCCUUCGGGUUGUAAACCUCUUUCGCUCAUGGUCAAGCCGCAACUUAGGGUUGUGGUGAGGGUAGUGGGUAAAGAAGCGCCGGCUAACUACGUGCCAGCAGCCGCGGUAAUACGUAGGGCGCGAGCGUUGUCCGGAAUUAUUGGGCGUAAAGGGCUUGUAGGCGGUUGGUCGCGUCUGCCGUGAAAUCCUCUGGCUUAACUGGGGGCGUGCGGUGGGUACGGGCUGACUUGAGUGCGGUAGGGGAGACUGGAACUCCUGGUGUAGCGGUGGAAUGCGCAGAUAUCAGGAAGAACACCGGUGGCGAAGGCGGGUCUCUGGGCCGUUACUGACGCUGAGGAGCGAAAGCGUGGGGAGCGAACAGGAUUAGAUACCCUGGUAGUCCACGCUGUAAACGUUGGGCACUAGGUGUGGGGGCCACCCGUGGUUUCUGCGCCGUAGCUAACGCUUUAAGUGCCCCGCCUGGGGAGUACGGCCGCAAGGCUAAAACUCAAAGGAAUUGACGGG
rnacentral:rRNA from 1 species